CUCCUUAGUGGCAAGGCACACCGAUGGCUCAUGUUCAGCUCUGUCAUCACCAGGACCUCCAGGUCUUUUCUGCCAGACUGCUUUCCAGUUGGGUGUCCCCCAGCACGUCCUGGCUCUGCCACCUCCACCUCACUGGGACCAUCGCAGAGGACUUGCCUGGAGGAUGGCACUUCUGGCCCAGGUCACACUGAGGAGCGUGUCUCCAAGCUGAAGGUACAGCUGGCUGCAUGCAUUUGGAGCACUUCAGGCACCCUUCACAGAGCCCCAUGCCUUACCUACCAG
rnacentral:lncRNA from 1 species